rnacentral:rRNA from 1 species
UACGUAGGGGGCAAGCGUUGGUCCGGAUUUAUUGGGCGUAAAGAGCGUGUAGGCGGCCUGGAAGGUCAGCUGUGAAAACUCGAGGCUCAACCUCGAGACGUCGGUUGAAACCACCUGGCUAGAGUCCGGAAGAGGAGAAUGGAAUUCCCGGUGUAGCGGUGAAAUGCGCAGAUAUCGGGAAGAACACCCGUGGCGAAGGCGGUUCUCUGGGACGGUACUGACGCUGAGACGCGAAAGCGUGGGAGCGAACAGG